AUGGCCGGAAAACAAGUCAGCGGCGAGGUUUUACCGGUGAACCUCGCCGGAAUGUCAAAGAAUCAGCUUUACGAUAUCAUGUCUCAGAUGAAGAAUCUGAUCGAACAGAACCAGAAACAAGCGAGGCAGAUCCUCAUUCAAAACCCUAUGUUGACAAAAUCACUUUUUCAGAACUGCCCUUUGUGUUGUAGUAAGUUUUGGCUUGUAAUCGGGAUUAUGUUUGAUCUGCUUACAUGUUUUGGCUUGUAA